rnacentral:tRNA from 1 species
CAGAGUGUAGCUAAAAUAGUAUAGCAUCUCCCUUACACCGACGAAGAUACCUGUGCAAAUCAGGUCACACUGA